rnacentral:rRNA from 1 species
CAAUAAGCGGAGGAAAAGAAACUAACAAGGAUUCCCCUAGUAACUGCGAGUGAAGCGGGAAAAGCUCAAAUUUAAAAUCUGGCGGUCUCUGGCCGUCCGAGUUGUAAUCUAGAGAAGUGUUAUCCGCGCUGGACCGUGUACAAGUCUCCUGGAAUGGAGCGUCAUAGAGGGUGAGAAUCCCGUCUUUGACACGGACUGCCAGGGCUUUGUGAUGCGCUCUCAAAGAGUCGAGUUGUUUGGGAAUGCAGCUCCAAAUGGGUGGUAAAUUCCAUCUAAAGCUAAAUAUUGGCGAGAGACCGAUAGCGAACAAGUACCGUGAGGGAAAGAUGAAAAGAACUUUGGAAAGAGAGUUAAACAGUACGUGAAAUUGCUGAAAGGGAAACGCUUGAAGUCAGUCGCGUUGGCCGGGAAUCAACCUUGCUUUUGCUGGGCGUACUUUCCGGUCGACGGGUCAGCAUCAAUUUUGACCGUUGGAUAAAGUCUAGAGGAAUGUGGCAUCUUCGGGUGUGUUAUAGCCUCUGGUCGCAUACAACGGUUGGGAUUGAGGAACUCAGCACGCCGCAAGGCCGGGUACUCGUACCACGUUCGUGCUUAGGAUGCUGGCAUAAUGGCUUUAAUCGACCCGUCUUGAAACACGGACCAAGGAGUCUAACAUGCCUGCGAGUGUUUGGGUGGAAAACCCGAGCGCGUAAUGAAAGUGAAAGUUGAGAUCCCUGUCGCGGGGAGCAUCGACGCCCGGACCAGACCUUUUGUGACGGUCCCGCGGUAGAGCAUGUAUGUUGGGACCCGAAAGAUGGUGAACUAUGCCUGAAUAGGGUGAAGCCAGAGGAAACUCUGGUGGAGGCUCGUAGCGAUUCUGACGUGCAAAUCGAUCGUCAAAUUUGGGUAUAGGGGCGAAAGACUAAUCGAACCAU